AGCAAAAGCAGUAUGUGAUUGUUGUGGCCAAGUGUCCUCAGUUCACAUUGGAGAAGAUGGUUCUGGUCUCCUUCCACAGUGGAUAUCUCUUCAUCCAGACAGAUAAAACCAUCUACACACCUGGGUCCAAAGGUAAAGCCUUCUGCUAGUCCCUCCCAUAACAUUAUCUGGAAAUGCAGGAGGGGUCUGGAGUGUAUAACCUACUUGUGAUCUGCAGACUGAGCAUGGCCCACAUGGAGGCAGAAAACUGCUGACUCCUGAGCUCUGAAGGACCACCAAGGGAAGCUCUUUGUCUUGUGGAAGCAUCAACAUGUCAGUGAGACACAGGGACGGAUGAUGUAUUAACAAAGCCUGGACUGGGGCAUGUCUGGAUCCCAUGCUGCUCAGCUGAUGGCCUUUGAUGGAGAAACACACUUUUUGUGUGAAAGGGAGCAGAGGCCAGGUGAUGUGUGUACCAUAAUACCUCCUUGACAGAAUAGCAAUUUCCCCUUGAAACAAUCAAUAGAUACCUAUAAUGUUCCACACUAUAAUUGUUUUAGUUGUU